CCUACGGGGGGCUGCAGUGGGGAAUCUUGCGCAAUGGGGGCAACCCUGACGCAGCCAUACCGCGUGUGUGAUGAAGGUCUUCGGAUUGUAAAGCACUUUCAGUAGGGACGAUGAUGACGGUACCUACAGAAGAAGUCACGGCUAACUUCGUGCCAGCAGCCGCGGUAAUACGAAGGUGGCGAAUGUUGCUCGGAUUCACUGGGCGUAAAGCGUCGGUAGGUGGUUUGUUAAGUCAGAGGUGAAAGCCCCGCGCUCAACGUGGGAAUUGCCUUUGA
rnacentral:rRNA from 1 species